rnacentral:misc_RNA from 1 species
GAUGAAGAACGCAGCGAAAUGCGAUAAGUAAUGUGAAUUGCAGAAUUCAGUGAAUCAUCGAAUCUUUGAACGCACAUUGCGCCCGCCAGUAUUCUGGCGGGCAUGCCUGUCCGAGCGUCAUUUCAACCCUCGAACCCCUCCGGGGGGUCGGCGUUGGGGAUCGGCCCUCCCUUAGCGGGUGGCCGUCUCCGAAAUACAGUGGCGGUCUCGCCGCAGCCUCUCCUGCGCAGUAGUUUGCACACUCGCAUCGGGAGCGCGGCGCGUCCACAGCCGUUAAACACCCAACUUCUGAAAUGUUGACCUCGGAUCUGGUAGGAAUACCCGCUGAACUUAAGCAUAUCAAUAAGCGGAGGA